CGUUCCCGGGCCUUGUACACACCGCCCGUCACACCACGAAAGUCGGCAACGCCCGAAGCCAGGGUGGCCCAACCGUAAGGAGGGAGCUGUCGAAGGCGGGGUCGGUGAUUGGGGUG
rnacentral:rRNA from 1 species